CAGCCGCCGCGGGAAUACGAAGGGUGCAAGCGUUAAUCGGAAUUACUGGGCGUAAAGCGUGCGUAGGCGGUUUGUUAAGUCUGUUGUGAAAUCCCCGGGCUCAACCUGGGAAUGGCAAUGGAUACUGGCAAGCUAGAGUGUGUCAGAGGAUGGUGGAAUUCCCGGUGUAGCGGUGAAAUGCGUAGAGAUCGGAAGGAACACCUGUGGCGAAAGCGGCUCACUGGACAAUAACUGACGCUGAUGCACGAAAGCUAGGGGAGCAAACAGGAUUAGAUACCCGAGUAGUCCCUGUCUCUUAUAC
rnacentral:rRNA from 1 species